rnacentral:rRNA from 1 species
UUUAAAUGGCCGCAGUAUAUUGACUGUGCAAAGGUAGCAUAAUCAUUAGUCUUUUAAUUGAAGGCUGGUAUGAAUGGUUGGACGAGAUAUUAACUGUUUCAUAAAAAUUUAUAAUAGAAUUUUAUUUUUUAGUUAAAAAGCUGAAAUUUAUUUAAAAGACGAGAAGACCCUAUAAAUCUUUAUAUUUAAUUUAUUAUAUUUUUUUAGAAUUUUUUUAUUGUAAUAAUUAAUAAUAUUUUAUUGGGGUGAUAUUAAAAUUUAAUAAACUUUUAAUUUUUAAAAAAUCAUUAAUUUAUGAAUGAUUGAUCCGUUAUUAACGAUUAAAAAAAUAAGUUACUUUAGGGAUAACAGCGUAAUUUUUUUGGAGAGUUCAUAUUGAUAAAAAAGAUUGCGACCUCGAUGUUGGAUUAAGAUAUAAUUUUAGGUGUAGUCGCUUAAAUUUUAAGU